rnacentral:tRNA from 1 species
UCCCUGGUAGCUCAGACAGUAAAGCGUCUGCCUAUAAUGCAGGAGACCCAGGUUUGAUCCCUGGGUUGGGAA